rnacentral:lncRNA from 1 species
CCUGCAGCUCAGAAACCCCUCCACUCCCCCACAGGGACAGAGAGCUACUACAGCCAGCCCUGCCCGGUGGGGCACUACUGUCCUGCCAGGACCCCCACCCCCAGGCCCUGCCCACCUGGAACCUUCCGGAACAGCAGCCAGGCAGGCAGAGUGGGAGAGUGCCUGCCCUGCCCCACAGGCACCUUCAGCUCCCAGCCAGGCCAGGCAGGCUGCCUGCCCUGCGGGAGUUCUGCCUUCUCUCCACCAGGUGCCUCCCACUGCACGUGUCGGGGCCUGAACAGGGUCUUUCAGAAGUCGGACGGCUCCUGCAUCUGCCAGGCGGGAUAUAAGUCCUAUGACGAUGAUGAGAGCAGCAGUGAAGAGGAUUGUCAGCCCCAGGUCGUGGAGCGCUGCCCACCUGGGGAAGUCCUCUUGGCUGCCACCCGUACCUGUGUGUCCCCCCGGCAGCACAACUGCUCUUCCUUCUGUCACCCGGCGGGAGGCCAGCUCAACACGAAGCUGGGCAUCUGCCAGUGCCGAGAAUACAUCUCCGCAGAGGAGCUCUGUGACGCCCAGUGUCUGGCCAGGGCUGCCCGGCUCUCCCUGGCCUGGGGGCCCAGCAGGAAGCUGAUCCUCAGCAUGAAGGAUGAGGCUGCAGGCAGCAUCCAGAGGGUCCACCUGUGUCCAGCUCAAGGCAGCAGAGGCAACCUUGGACCCCAGGCCCGGGGCACCGUGCCCCACAGGAUCCCAGCAUCCACCCCCACAUUCCAAACCCAGUGGUCUGCCUGGCAGCAGGGGACGUGGUUCUUUUCCAGCUUCACAUUCUUCCCUACAGUGAGUCCUGCCCUGACUCUUUCACCAUUCCCCGCCCAGGUGUCCAGUGACCUCACAUACCCAGAUUCGCAGCAGCAAGUCACAGGCCAGGGCUGCACCCUUGCUCUUGACCUGACCAGUCAUUUCACUGGGGCCUGGAUUCCAUAUCUCGGACCUGCUGUUCCAGCUCCGAGUGGGGUUGCCAGACCUCUGCACCUUGGGAGGAGAGGGGGUCUCACCAAGGUGACCUCUGACCUGUGCUCCAGCCCGCCUGCAGGGCUGCCCUGUGCCGGGGUCAGACCCUAUGCCUACUCAGUAGCCUGUCCAUCUUGGAUGCCUUGA